GCGUCGCGUAGCGGUGAGCGUCUGUCUGACCGUUACGGUAUUUUCGCGUAUCAUUGAAAGAGGAAUUUGUUUUCGCCGCGAUUAAACAAAUUUUUUCCCCGAUCGUUCGGAUUCGUGUAAUUUCGAUUGAACUUGCUUUUAUACCCAACUCGCGGUACGUGCGUAUGUGUUAUCCGCCGUAAGUAGUAAUACAGCGUCGUUAAUUUUGUGGGUUUUAAUUUAUUUUUUUCUUAAUAUUGUAUUAUUUUCUUCUUUUUACAUUCUUCUUGGCCGAUGAAAUAGAACGUGGCUAAUCAUUGGACGCGAACGUCUGGCCAGAAGCUUUUUUAGACUAUCUACGUCUGGAUACGAACGAGUUCAUUCCUUGGCGAUAUUACACGCGGAAAUUGUUGUUUGUGGAAUAAUUGAAACGCGUGCAACGAUAAUUGUUGGAAGUUUGGAUAAUCUAAUCGAAGGAGGAACUCUUCUAUAAAUUCGCAAGCACCUGUGAAGGAGAGGUAUAAAAAAACAAAAAGAAAAAAAAAGUGUCGCGGAGUUUGGCAGCAGUGAAAGUGGGGCAAUUCCGUUGUCCGUCGUUGUCGAUAUAUUCGAGGGGGGAAAAAAAAACAAAUCUCGGAGUGUCGGGGUCUCCUACGACGUCUUCUUCUUCUUCUUCUUUUUUUUUUUUGCUUCGUUUUUUGAUUUUACUUUUCGCCUUAUCACGGUACAUGCUUCCGCUUUACACAGCGUAUCAACACGGCAGGCACUCACACACGUAAGAGACACGGCUCGUGAAGAUUGUGACACGCGUUGCUCGCAAGUAGUAUAUUACUACCACCACCUCCUCGGCGCGUAUAUAGGCGUAAUACAUACGCCUGCCUGGUACACACGGGUCAAUUUCUCGAGUCUAGACUAACAGACUUCAGACCCAGGAGUCCCCGACGUCCUUCGCAAUCGUCGCAGCGUUUCGUAUAUACGUGUAUAUAUAUAUAUAUAUAUAUAUAUAAACGCCGUUCGCAAUGUCGAGCGAGACGACGGCGUGGAGAGGAAAGAGGGAUUAGAUAUUAUACUUGCUUACUUGCUUAUAUACAUCGUACGACCGACUACUACUCGACGCGGAGACAUUAAGAAGGCUGCUUUUUUGCACAGGCCCGGGGGGACACCCGAUGUAACGCAACAACAACCGCGGAAAGUUACUAUAUAACUUACAGGGAAAACAGGAUAUAUAUAUAUAUAUAUAUAUGUGCGUGUGUGUGCGAAUGCAUACACACGUAACACCUGACUCUAAUCGACGAAGCUAGUGCCGAUCCGACGUGCCCGAAACUUGUACGAAACGAAAAGAGCAAGAGAAAGAGAGAGAAGGACGUCAAGAGGCAGAGAGAAGAGUGGAGGAGAGAGCAGCGAGGUUGAGUUGCGGUUAAAAAUAAAAUACAUUUUACUUAGUAUAAUACGAGGAGGGACCAACUUGGAGAAGUUGAAAGUGCAUACGAAAUUAAACGUCGUCUUUACGGAGGGAUUAGGAAAGUCCGAAGAAGAGGACGACACGUAUCGUGUAUAUGUACGUAUGUAUACCAUGUAACGUGUGAAUAACAACAAAAGAUACCACGUAUUUUCUCUAUAAAUUGACGCAGUUUGACGUAUCGUUGAAAAAACUUGGUUGUACCUAGGCGUUUGCAAAAGUAAAUAAAUAAACAAAUAAAUAAAUAAAUCGUCGACGUCGAGGUAAAAGUCGACUUGUGAUGAGUGGUGAAAAUAAGCGGAGCUGCCGUCUCAGCUCGGGCGAAAAAGAAGAAGCAGCCCACUGUUACAGUCGCGAUUGUCAGAAGCACGCGGUCGUUAUCGUAGUCAGCUGACCUGCAGCACGCAAGAAGAGAUAUAUUACAUCUCGACUGACUGACUGACUGACUGACUGACUGACUGAGUUACUGCACUGGGUCGCCUGCGUCGUUGUACAGGAAUAAACAAACAGCGUUUCGCGGUCUGUAACAAGGUCGAAAAGCAAGAGGAGGAAGAAGAGGACCGGGACGAUGAAGAACCCGGAACACGAGAGCGGUUAUUUCGAGGACGGCAGCGACGUCGAGAUCAUCGGAGAGUCCGAUCGUUCAAACUCCGGGGGAUCCGGACGCAGGGGGAUCAAGUGGACCUCGGCUGCAUCGGGUGGAUCCGGAGGAUCCGCCGGAUCCUGCAGCUUGGCCAAGGCCAUCAAUGAGUUGGACGUUAGAGAUUCGCCCGCGUCGCCGGAACCCGUAACGACGGAAGACGACGAGGAGGAAGACUACGACGAUGAAAAGGACAACAAAGAGGACGACGACCACGACGACCGCGACGACGACGUCGGCAACGAUGACGUACUUUGGAAGAGGAGACCGAGAGUCAAUUUGGCCGACAGUGGGGGUCAAAGGAUCGAUAUGUCUCACUUUGACCUACUGAAGGUUCUCGGAACCGGAGCCUAUGGUAAGGUCUUCCUGGUUCGGAAGAGGACCGGGGCCGAUAGCGGACGUCUGUACGCCAUGAAGACCCUAAAGAAGGCCUCGAUUGUUCAGAAAAAAAAGACCACGGAACACACGAAGACCGAAAGACAAGUCCUCGAGGCUGUUAGGGAUAGUCCCUUCCUGGUCACGCUGCAUUACGCUUUUCAAACAGACGCAAAACUCCAUCUUAUAUUAGAUUACGUUAGCGGCGGUGAAUUAUUCACUCAUUUGUAUCAACGGGAACAUUUCACGGAAGACGAAGUUCGAGUCUAUAUCGGUGAGAUAAUACUCGCGCUGGAACAUCUACAUAAGCUUGGAAUUAUAUACCGUGACAUUAAACUGGAGAAUAUUUUACUGGAUCACGAGGGCCACAUAGUUCUUACAGAUUUUGGCCUCAGCAAAGAGUUCCUUCCUCAUGAGAGAGAGCGCAACGCCAGAGCCUACUCGUUCUGUGGUACGAUAGAGUAUAUGGCGCCUGAAGUUGUUCGUGGAGGAUCUGCUGGGCACGACAUUGCGGUCGACUGGUGGAGCGUUGGCGUUCUGACGUAUGAACUGCUGACGGGUGCCUCGCCAUUCACAGUUGAGGGGGAGAGAAAUACUCAGCAAGAAAUAUCGAAAAGAAUAUUAAGAACGGAACCUCCCAUUCCUGGGCAUCUCAGUGCCUCCGUUCGCAGUUUCAUAACAGGCCUUCUGGUAAAAGAUCCUCGACUAAGGCUCGGCGGGGGGCCUGAGGAUGCCAAGGAGCUUAAGGAGCACGAGUUUUUCAGCAAAGCUUCACCCCCCUUCAGUUGGGAAGCUCUUGAGUCUCGACAGAUUACCCCACCUUUCGUACCCAAGAUCACUCACGAGCUAGACACAAGUAAUUUUUCAGAGGAAUUUACAAAAAUGGUCGCUGCCGAUAGCCCUGCUGUUGUACCACCAAAUUAUGACAAACUCUUUCGGGGCUAUUCAUAUGUCGCGCCAUCGAUAUUAUUCGCGGAGAAUGUGAUCAGCGAGGAUAUAUUCAAAAACGUCGAACGGACUACGAAUGAGGAUCAACACCAUCGUCCAUCGACCUCAGACGAGUUAGCCUCCCGUUUCGAGGAAUCAGCGUUUUUCAAAACGUAUGAGCUUGAUCCUAGAGAAGAAGCGUUGGGCGACGGAAGUUUUUCAGUUUGUCGUAGAUGUAGGCACCGUAAAUCGCAACAGGAGUUUGCGGUGAAAAUAGUUAGCCGAAGGGUUGACUGUGGAAGGGAGGCGAAUUUAUUGAAGAUCUGCCAGGGCCAUCCGAGUAUUGUAAAACUGAUAGACGUUUACAAAGAUCGAGCGCAUACCUAUCUAGUAAUGGAACUUUUGAAGGGAGGUGAGCUGAUGCGGAAGUCUCGUUCCUUCCCCGAGUCUCAGGCAAGUCGAAUAAUGCGCCAGCUUGCCUCAGCGGUAAGUUUCAUGCACGCAAAAGGCGUCGUACACCGGGACCUCAAGCCGGAAAACAUAGUAUUUGCCAACACAGGCGAUGACUUGUUGGUCAAGGUGGUUGACUUUGGGUUUGCGAGAAUUAAACAAGGCCGCGAGCCUCUUCACACUCCCUGCUUCACGCUUCCCUAUGCAGCGCCAGAGGUUCUUGCCAGGCAAGGGUACGACGAGAGCUGUGACCUCUGGAGUUUGGGCGCCAUCCUUUAUUCCAUGCUUUCGGGACGGCCACCAUUCCGUACGGAUUCACCGGAUUUUGCAUCGCGCGUCAAGACGGGUGACGUGGACUUCGAGGGAGAGGCAUGGCGAGGUGUUUCAGCAUCGGCGAAGAACGUUGCACAGGGUCUUUUGACCACAGAUCCCAAUCGGAGACUCACUGCCACCGAGCUUGUUAAUCACGAGUGGAUUUUAGGCUCAACUACACCUGCCGCCGCACCAAUAGCCGGAUCCUCUUCUUCUUCUACAUCAGCCUCAACCUCAACGAGCGAAAAGGGGCAGAGCUUUAAGCUGAGGGAGGUCGAUUCGGCAAAGCUUGCGCAAAGACGAAGGCUUCCCAAGCGGUCCACAUCGAGUUCCGCGUCUUCUUCGGCUUCCAUUGCCUCCUCGAACGCCUCGGUACAGCUACUGCAACCACCCAGCGCGAGCACCACCGUCGCUUCCGCCUCCCCUGCGCAACCCAGUGCUUUUGACUUUGGCGAGGAAAGGGUAAACGAAUAUCUCAGUUCUUUGUCUUCCUCGUCCGACUCGAAUUCGCCAAGAAUAACUAGCCGGAAGACUGAGAGGUCGGAUCACCCCGGUGGCUCCAGAGCCAAAAGACGCAAACGCGAUCAUGACGACGUGAUUCUUCAGCAAGACGAUAAUGGAAGUGGUAACGGAAGUGGAGGCGGAAAUGGUAGCGGAAAUGAAAACGGCCCGAUUACAAGAUCGAGAAAACGAAAGUUGGAUCUAAAUACAAGCGGUUCUGAUAGCUGUGUCGAAUUUAUCGAUGCAACGACGAGCCCUGGUAAAAGAGAUACAAUUGUACACAGAAAACAGAGAACUGGAAAACGGCCCAAGCGACUACCUACCAUAAUAGUAGAGUAAAAAUUGCUUGUAAGCGUUUGGUAAGUUAAAGCUGACGAUUUUACUCGUUUUUGUUUCCUAUGCAUUUUCCGUGACGUAACGCUGCUGCCUUUGGGAGUUGAUCGUGCAAGACGCGGAUAUCGCACCAUUCCUAUCUCAGUACUUUUAGAUUCUUUGUAAAUACAUGUAGGUAAGUGUUGAUUUGAGCAUCGCCAUUGUCGCCUACUACAUUUUCAAGUGGCGUCUUUGAUCAGUUUAUGAAGUGAAGCUGUUGAUUUUUUUAACGGGUAGGUAGGGUAAAUAAUAAUAAUACUAACGACGACGACAUAGGUAAAAAGAAGAGAUCCGAAGAGCG
rnacentral:misc_RNA from 1 species